rnacentral:lncRNA from 10 species
GUGAGAUUGGACUCUAUCCCCAGACCCGGCGCACUGGGCUGCUGGGGAGGAAAGGCGGAUAGAGGUUGUCAGCCUGAUGAAAGAGAUGUCUCUUUAGCAGCUCUAAAACAUAUUUGCUAUGAAUAGCCACCAACAGGAUUAUUAUGGGUUGCAAAUGGAAGAAAGAGAAAGGGAAGAGUAAAAGAGAAAGGGAAGAGUAAAAGAGAAAGGUUCAUAAAGGUUAGUGAGAAUCUGUAUACACUGCAGAAACAGUUUCCUCUGGAGAUGACAUUGACUGAGUCUGUAGUGGAAGUCAGGAGCAGAGGAAGCGUGGAGUGCGCACUAGCUCUCUAUGGAAGACGGGAGCAGGGGACGCGUGGAGCGUGCACUAGUCCUCCAUGGAAGUCAGGAGCAGAGAAUGCCUGGAAUGCGCACUAUCCUUCCAUAGAAGACAGGAGCAGAGGACGCCGGAGUGCGCACUAGCCCUCCGUGGAAGACGGGAGCAGAGGACAUCGGAGUGCGCACUAGCAGUCCAUGGAAGUCAGGAGCAGAGAAUGCCUGGAGGGCGCACUAGCCCUCCAUAGAAGACAGGAGCAGAGGACGUCGAAGUGCGCACUAGCCCUCCAUGGAAGACGGGAGCAGAGGACGGUGGAGUGCGCACCAGUCCUCCGUGGUAGACAGGAGCAGAGAAUGCCUGGAGUGUGUACUAGCCCUCCAUGGUAGAUGGGAGGAGAGAAUGCCAGGAGUGUGCACUAGCCCUCCAUAGAAGAUGGGAGCAGAGGACGCGUGGAGUGCGCACUAGCCCUCCUUGGAAGUCGGGAGCAGAGGACGCCGCAGUGCGCACUAGCCCUCCAUGGAAGACAGGCGCAGAGGACGCCGGAGUGCGCACUAGCCCUUCAUGGAAGACGGGAGCAGAGGAUGCGUGGAGUGCGCACCAGCCCUCCAUGGAAGUCAGGAGCAAAGGAUGUGUGGAGUGCGUACUAGCCCUCCAUGGCAGCAUUUCCCAAAUGGUGGCCCCUGAAUCUUUGUUCCUCCAGAUGUGCUAAAAGAAAAAGAGGCUUGUGGUUAAAUAAAUUUGGGAAAAUUUUAAG